AACGCUAGCUACAGGCUUAACACAUGCAAGUCGAGGGGCAUCAGGAAGAAAGCUUGCUUUCUUUGCUGGCGACCGGCGCACGGGUGAGUAACACGUAUCCAACCUGCCGAUGACUCGGGGGUAGCCUUUCGAAAGAAAGAUUAAUACCCGAUGGUAUAUCUGAAAGGCAUCUUUCAGCUAUUAAAGAAUUUCGGUCAUUGAUGGGGAUGCGUUCCAUUAGGUUGUUGGCGGGGUAACGGCCCACCAAGCCGUCGAUGGAUAGGGGUUCUGAGAGGAAGGUCCCCCACAUUGGAACUGAGACACGGUCCAAACUCCUACGGGAGGCAGCAGUGAGGAAUAUUGGUCAAUGGACGAGAGUCUGAACCAGCCAAGUAGCGUGAAGGAUGACUGCCCUAUGGGUUGUAAACUUCCUUUAUACGGGAAUAAAGUUAGGCACGUGUGCCUUUUUGUAUGUACCGUAUGAAUAAGGAUCGGCUAACUCCGUGCCAGCAGCCGCGGUAAUACGGAGGAUCCGAGCGUUAUCCGGAUUUAUUGGGUUUAAAGGGAGCGUAGGCGGAUGCUUAAGUCAGUUGUGAAAGUUUGCGGCUCAACCGUAAAAUUGCAGUUGAUACUGGGUGUCUUGAGUACAGUAGAGGCAGGCGGAAUUCGUGGUGUAGCGGUGAAAUGCUUAGAUAUCACGAAGAACUCCGAUUG
rnacentral:rRNA from 1 species